rnacentral:tRNA from 2 species
GAGGUAGGAUGAUCAAGAGGAAGCUGCUAACUUCUAUCUUAAGCGGUUAAAAUCCGUUUAUACCUUU